AAAGGGAGACCUAAUUCAGGUAGGAGACGAAAAAAAAGUAGUCGCUACCAAGAAUCAAUCCCAAAAGGUCGGAGCGAGGCGAAAUUGGCUUUCAAACUAGGUUCUGGGUUCAAACAAGACCUGAAUCAGGAACAAGGGCUAUUAGCUCAGGUGGUUAGAGCGCACCCCUGAUAAGGGUGAGGUCCCUGGUUCGAGUCCAGGAUGGCCCACCUGCACAGGUGGCAAAAACAAGAGAAGCGAGGAAUCAGCACCUUAUCUUACUUAUAUAGUAAGAGAGAAUGCUGGCUCUGAGUAAAGAGUCCAGAGGAACCUUGAAAACUGCAUAGAGCUAGGUGAAAAAGCCAAAAAAGAAGACCGCAUG
rnacentral:tRNA from 1 species